rnacentral:rRNA from 1 species
AAUGAACGCUGGCGGUAGGCCUAACACAUGCAAGUCGAACGAGUGGCGGACGGGUGAGUAAUACAUCGGAAUCUACUCUUUCGUGGGGGAUCACGUAGGGAAACUUACGCUAAUUCCGCCUACUCUUGAAUGAGCCUAUGUCGGAUUAGCUGGUUGGCGGGGUAAAGGCCCACCAGGGCGACGAUCCGUAGCUGGUCCGAGAGGAUGAUCAGCCAAACUGGAACUGGGACACGGUCCAGACUCCUACGGGAGGCAGCAGUGGGGAAUAUUGGACAAUGGGCGCAAGCCUGAUCCAGCCAUACCGCGUGGGUGAAGAAGGCCUUCGGGUUGUAAAGCCCUUUUGUUGGGAAAGCGGUACCCAAAGAAUAAGCACCGGCUAACUUCGUGCCAGCAGCCGCGGUAAUAC